rnacentral:rRNA from 1 species
CCUACGGGCGGCAGCAGUGGGGAAUAUUGCACAAUGGGGGGAACCCUGAUGCAGCGACGCCGCGUGAGUGAAGAAGUAUUUCGGUAUGUAAAGCUCUAUCAGCAGGGAAGAAAAUGACGGUACCUGACCAAGAAGCCCCGGCUAACUACGUGCCAGCAGCCGCGGUAAUACGUAGGGGGCAAGCGUUAUCCGGAUUUACUGGGUGUAAAGGGAGCGCAGACGGCUGUGCAAGUCAGGAGUGAAAGGCGGGGGCCCAACCCCCGGACUGCUCUGGAAACUGUAAAGCUGGAGUGCAGGAGAGGUAGGCGGAAUUCCUGGUGUAGCGGUGAAAUGCGUAGAUAUUAGGAGGAACACCAGUGGCGAAGGCGGCUUACUGGACUGCAACUGACGUUGAGGCUCGAAAGCGUGGGGAGCAAACAGGAUUAGAUACCCCAGUAGUC